CUACGGGUCGCACCAGUGAGGAAUUUUGCGCAAUGGGGGAAACCCUGACGCAGCAACGCCGUGUGAGUGAAGAAGGCCUUCGGGUCGUAAAGCUCUGUCAAGUGGGAAAAAAGUCUUUCGGUAAAUAGCCGGAAGGCCUGAUGGUACCACUAAAGGAAGCACCGGCUAACUCCGUGCCAGCAGCCGCAGUAAUACGGAGGGUGCUAGCGUUGUUCGGAAUUAUUGGGCGUAAAGAGCGUGUAGGCGGCUUGGUAAGUCAGAUGUGAAAGCCCUGGGCUCAACUCAGGAAGUGCAUUUGAUACUGCUUUGCUUGAGUAUGGGAGAGGGGAGUGGAAUUCCCAGUGUAGAGGUGAAAUUCGUAGAUAUUGGGAGGAACACCCGUGGCGAAGGCGACUCUCUGGACCAAUACUGACGCUGAGACGCGAAAGCGUGGGGAGCAAACAGGAUUAGAUACCCUCGUAGUC
rnacentral:rRNA from 1 species